GGACUACACGGGUUUCUAAUCCUGUUUGCUCCCCACGCUUUCGUGCAUGAGCGUCAGUAUUGGCCCAGGGGGCUGCCUUCGCCAUCGGUAUUCCUCCACAUCUCUACGCAUUUCACUGCUACACGUGGAAUUCUACCCCCCUCUGCCAUACUCUAGCCUGCCAGUCACCAAUGCAGUUCCCAGGUUGAGCCCGGGGAUUUCACAUCGGUCUUAGCAAACCGCCUGCGCACGCUUUACGCCCAGUAAUUCCGAUUAACGCUCGCACCCUACGUAUUACCGCGGCUGCUGGCAC
rnacentral:rRNA from 1 species